rnacentral:rRNA from 1 species
UACGGAGGGGGCUAGCGUUGUUCGGAAUUACUGGGCGUAAAGCGCACGUAGGCGGCUUUGUAAGUUAGAGGUGAAAGCCCAGGGCUUAACCCCGGAAUUGCCUUUAAGACUGCAUCGCUAGAAUCGUGGAGAGGUGAGUGGAAUUCCGAGUGUAGAGGUGAAAUUCGUAGAUAUUCGGAAGAACACCAGUGGCGAAGGCGACUCACUGGACACGUAUUGACGCUGAGGUGCGAAAGCGUGGGGAGCAAACAGG